GUUAAACUGGAUCUCACUGGAUCCUUCACUGCUAAAGGGGUCCGAACGCAGCCCGGGAAAAGAAAGAAAGCAGGAUCCCCAUCGCAAGGGGGGAAGACACCGCCCACGAGUCGGGGACUGAGAGCCAGCCCCUCUUCCCCCGCUGGCUUAGGACCCCCACCGCGGAUUCUAAGAUCCUUAGCACCCACCUGGAGGACUGGGGGUUUUAGGUGUCCAAGAAGAAAGCUCAGACCUGCCGACCGCAGGACCUCCAUCGCAGCGGGGCAGGCACACACCGCGAGGCGGGAACUGAGAGCCAGCCCCUCCCACCUCUGGCUCUUAGGACUCACAUUGCAAGUGGGGGAGGCAUCCUCCGCGAGGCGCGGACUGAGAGCCAGCCCCUCUUCCCCCCCUGGCUCUAGGGACCCCCAUCGCAGGGGGUGGAGGCACCCCACGCGAUUCGGGGACUGAGAGCCAGCCCCUCUCCUUCCCCCUGCUCUUCGGACCCCCAUCGCAGGGCGGGGAGGCACCCACCGCGAGGCGGGGACUGAGAGCCAGCCCCUCUACCCCCCGUGGCUCUUAGGAGCCCCAUCGCAGGGUGGGAGGCCACCCGGCGAGGCGAGGAUUGAGAGCCAGCCCGUCUUCCCCCCUUGGCUCUUAGGAGCCCCAUCGCGGGUGGGGAAGGCACCCCCCGCGAGGCAGGGACUGAGAGCCAGCCUCUCUUCCUCCCGUGGCUCUUAGGACCCCCAUCGCAGUGGGGGGAGGCACCCCCCGCGAGGCGGGGACUGAGAGCAAGCCCAUUUCCCCCCCCCCCGGCUCUUAGGACACCCAACGCAGAGGGGGGAGGCACCCCCUGCGAGGCAGGAACUGAGAGCCAGACCCACUUCUCCCCGGCUCUUGGGAUCCCCAUCGCGGGGAGGGGAGGCACCCCACACGAGGCGGGGACUGAGAGCCAGCCCCUCUUCCCCCCCUGGCUAUUAGGACCCCCAUCGCAGGGGGGAGAGGCACCCCCCGAGAGGCAGGGACGGAGAGCCUGCACCUCUUCCCCCACGGGCUCUUAGGACCCCCAUCGCAGGCGCUUCGCACCCCACGCGAGGCGGGUACUGAGAGCCAGCUCCUCUUUCCCCCGUCUCUUAGGACUGCCAUCGCAGAGGGGGAGGUAACCCCCGCCAGGCAGGGACUGACAGCCAGCCCCUCUUCACCUCUGGCUCUUAGGCCCCCAUCGCAGAGUGGGGAGGCACCACAUGCGAGGCGGGGACUGCGAGCCAGCCCCACUUCCCCCCUGGCUCUUGGGACCACCAUCGCAGUGGGGGGAGGUACACCCCGCGAGGCGGGGACGGAGAGUCAGCCCCUCUUCCCCCACUGGCUCUUGGGAACCCCAUCGCAAGGGGGAGAGGCACCCUCCGCGACGCGGGGACUGAGAGACAGCCCCUCUUCCCCCCCUGGCUCUAGGGACCCCCAUCGCAGGGGGUGGAGGCACCCCACGCGAUGCGGGGACUGAGAGCCAGCCCCUCUCCGCCCCCCCCGACCCCGCCCGGGUCUUCGGACCCCCAUCGCAGUGGGGGGAGGCACCCCAUGCGAGGCGGGGUCUGACAGCCAAACCCUCUUCCCCCUCUGGCUCUUAUGACCCCCAUAGCAAGGGGGGAGGCACCCCCCGCGAGGCGGGGACUAGAGCCAGCCCCUCUUCCCACCCUGGCUUAGGACCCCCAUCGCGGAUCCUAAGAUCCUUAGGACCCAACUGGAGGACUGUGGGUAUUAGGUGUCCAAGAAGAAAGCUCAGAUCUGCCGACCGCAGGUACCUUACUUGGGAUUUACUAUACCACAGGGGUCCGAACGCAGCCCGGGAUCAGGAAGAAAGCAGGUCGUUUGCAAUCUACCGGAGCCUAAGGGCAGAAGGCAGGAUCGUGGGAACAAUAUCCCAGGGGGGUUUCCACUUUCUGCCAUAUAUGUAGUCACAUCGCCCACUCCGCCUUGGAAUAUUAUUAAGGACCAUCUAACACGAGGGUGUAUACGUCCUGCGAUAUUACGAGUAAUAUCAACUUCUUGGCCUCUGAAUAUGAGGAAGAAUAUCACAGGGGGUCCGAAUGCAGCCCGGGAUCACAAAGAAAGCAGGUCGUUUGCAAUCUACCAGAGCCUAAGGGCAGAAGGCAGGAUCGUGGGAACAAUAUCCCAUGGGGGUGUACCCUUUCUGCCAUAUAUGUAGUCACAUCACCCACUCCGCCUUGGAAUAUUAUUAAGGACCAUCUAACACGAGGGUGUAUACGUCCUGUGAUAUUGGGAGUAAUAUCAACUUCUCGGCCUCUGAAUAUGAGGAAGAAUAUCACAGGGAUAUUAAUAACAAUUUCACAGGCUGGGUGAACACAGCCGGCGAUGCUGAAAUUAUUAUCAUCCUCUCCCCCUCUUCCCCUCCUGGCUCUCAGUCCCCGCCUCACGGGUUAUGUAGCGGGUUAUGGCAAGAAGACAAACUGCAGUUUCCUGCACAGAACAGCACAAACAAUGAUCCAAGCUCAGUUACAACACAAUAUUGGUCAUCAUUUGACCAUGGACUUCAAUAUCAACCCUUAGAAACCUUCCUAAAACAGGUCAGCAAAACACCAAGAAGCAAUAUCCUGAAUGAUAGGAAAAUAUCCUUGCUUGUGCAAAUUGUUUCCACUUAAUUUUUUUCAACAAAUGUUAAUUAUAUUUUUACUUUCUAAAAAUUUUUAAUAAAAUAUAGCCUACUUGGUUAAAA
rnacentral:lncRNA from 1 species